rnacentral:rRNA from 1 species
CUUGCUCCCUGAUGUUAGCGGCGGACGGGUGAGUAACACGUGGGUAACCUGCCUGUAAGACUGGGAUAACUCCGGGAAACCGGGGCUAAUACCGGAUGGUUGUUUGAACCGCAUGGUUCAGACAUAAAAGGUGGCUUCGGCUACCACUUACAGAUGGACCCGCGGCGCAUUAGCUAGUUGGUGAGGUAACGGCUCACCAAGGCGACGAUGCGUAGCCGACCUGAGAGGGUGAUCGGCCACACUGGGACUGAGACACGGCCCAGACUCCUACGGGAGGCAGGCAGUAGGGAAUCUUCCGCAAUGGACGAAAGUCUGACGGAGCAACGCCGCGUGAGUGAUGAAGGUUUUCGGAUCGUAAAGCUCUGUUGUUAGGGAAGAACAAGUGCCGUUCAAAUAGGGCGGCACCUUGACGGUACCUAACCAGAAAGCCACGGCUAACUACGUGCCAGCAGCCGCGGUAAUACGUAGGUGGCAAGCGUUGUCCGGAAUUAUUGGGCGUAAAGGGCUCGCAGGCGGUUUCUUAAGUCUGAUGUGAAAGCCCCCGGCUCAACCCGGGGAGGGUCAUUGGAAACUGGGGAACUUGAGUGCAGAAGAGGAGAGUGGAAUUCCACGUGUAGCGGUGAAAUGCGUAGAGAUGUGGAGGAACACCAGUGGCGAAGGCGACUCUCUGGUCUGUAACUGACGCUGAGGAGCGAAAGCGUGGGGAGCGAACAGGAUUAGAUACCCUGGUAGUCCACGCC